rnacentral:tRNA from 1 species
UCCCUGGUGGCUCAGACAGUAAAGCAUCUGCCUACAAUGCAGGAGACCCAGAUUCGAUCCCUGGGUUGGGAA